GCUCUUCACCGUACAACAGCUGUUCCAGUAGCUUCUUGAUUCAAGUGUUAAACAAUCUGUUUACUGCCAAUCCAAUAUGAAGAUCAUUUCCACUGGGGAGCUAUUAUGAUAAUUAUAGUCAUCUCAGCUUUCCUCCCAGCAAUUUGGGGUUGUCUUUCAAAUUGAAAUUUAGUAAAAGUUCUUAAGAUCAGUUGCCCACCAAAUGUCUACCAUCAUCUUCAACAUGGUGUCAGGGACAGAUCGUUUUUAUACCCCAUGACAGGAACUUAACCAUUUUGGCUCUCCCUGUACAUAGAGGUUUCUUUGUGUAAAAUAUUGUAAGAGAAUUUAGUUAGUUGUAGAGAUCUCUGGAUUUUUCCGGUGUUCCCUUGUCC